AUUGAACGCUGGCGGAAUGCUUUACACAUGCAAGUCGAGCGGCAGCGCGGCCUUCGGGCUGGCGGCGAGCGGCGAACGGGUGAGUAAUGCAUCGGAACAUGCCCAGUCGUGGGGGAUAACACUUCGAAAGAAGUGCUAAUACCGCAUACGUCCUGAGGGGGAAAGCGGGGGAUCGCCAGACCUCGCGCGAUUGGAGUGGCCGAUGUCAGAUUAGCUAGUUGGUGGGGUAAAGGCCUACCAAGGCGACGAUCUGUAGCUGGUCUGAGAGGAUGAUCAGCCACACUGGGACUGAGACACGGCCCAGACUCCUACGGGAGGCAGCAGUGGGGAAUUUUGGACAAUGGGGGCAACCCUGAUCCAGCCAUUCCGCGUGAGUGAAGAAGGCCUUCGGGUUGUAAAGCUCUUUCGGCAGGAACGAAACGGUGGGCUCUAACAUAGUCCGCUAAUGACGGUACCUGAAGAAGAAGCACCGGCUAACUACGUG
rnacentral:rRNA from 1 species